rnacentral:lncRNA from 1 species
GCCAGUUCCCUGUGAGAUCUUGAGGGUGUGGACAGGUGGCCCUCAGAGGCAUUGGCUGGAAUUGGAUCCUUUGCUGAAUGCUGCAUACUUUAGGAAUGGACGGAGGAGCUUCCUGAGGUGGAGAGGAGUGUCAAUCUCAGUUGCAAACACCCCCAGGAAGCCACACACUCAGCUCCAUUCAGCUCCAGCCGUGGUGUGAAUGAACAAGGAAGUGAGAAGAGUUUUUCAUUGCUUAUUGCCAGAAAAAUGUGUCUGCCAGCUUCAGUGUUUAUAAAAAGCAAUUUUGCCUCCCCCUAAGCUAGCAGUGUUUAAUAAACAUGUAAUAGAGAAUGUAGGUUUAAUAUUUAAGCAUCUCUAUGCCCCGAGUCUGAGUGAUGCUCUGCUACAUUCUUUCUGCAAAAGGGAAUUUAAAAGAAUGAUGAGAUCCAGCCCCGGCCUGAAACAAAGGCAGUUCCAGUGGAGUCUGCAGGGUUCACUCUUUCCUUCCCUCUCUCCUCAGAUAGCUGCUCCACGGUUUCCCCACUUAGGCAAAUGAGCAUCUGCUGUGUUCAUGGAAAUCGGUCCAAGUAACACAAUAGAGGCUGCUGCUCCUGGUGUGUGAAAUCAUCCCCCGAAUUAUCAAUUGAAGGAAGAUUGCAUCGUAAAGCCCUGGAGCACGAGCCUCGUUAGCACGCUCCUUCCAGCACAGCCGGGGCUCGGUCCGUCUGGCCAUGUAUUUGGCAACCAGUGUGUGCUCCGGCCCACCCUCAACUAAUGGGUGUUUGCAUGGGUGUGCGUUUGUGCAUGUGUGUUCACCGCCACUAGAGUGAGUUCUUUUUUGGCAGUUUGUUUGAACAUAUACUCACCCGAGGCGUGUGCUUG